rnacentral:rRNA from 1 species
UACGUAGGCAGCAAGCGUUGUUCGGAGUUACUGGGCGUAAAGAGUGCGUAGGCGGUCCUGUAAGUUUGGUGUGAAAUCUCCCGGCUCAACUGGGAGGGUGCGCCGAAGACUGCAGGGCUUGAGUAUGGGAGAGGUAAGCGGAAUUCCUGGUGUAGCGGCGAAAUGCGUAGAUAUCAGGAGGAACACCUGUGGUGUAGACAGCUUACUGGACCAUAACUGACGCUGAGGCACGAAAGCGUGGGUAGCAAACAGG